GAAUUCGAUCUCCCGUUUUUAUUUUUUCCUGCUCUAUGACACGGAGAAUGUGCAGGACAUGAAGCCUCUGAGGUCCAAUGGCCCCUUGGAAUACUGUAGGGGAAGGCGGUGGAUCACCCUGAGGCCGGGAGGGCGUGAGUUGACUCAUGGAAGUACCCAGAGCAGGGCUUAGUACACAGAAGGCACUCAGUAAGUGCUGGCUGGCUGGACAGGCUGAUGGGGAGUGGGCCCGGUCAACCGGAGGCCAUUUCGGGUCUGGAGGUGUUAACCCUACUCAGGGUCUGGGAGGCUGAGGUGGCACCAGCCUCACGCUCGGCCAAGGUCGACCCAUGCCGGAGGCCACGGGAGGGAGGCCAGGAGCACAGGGUCCCCUCUCCACACUCCUCUACCAGUGGCUCAGGCCAACACUGGGGUCAUUGCACCUCUUCCCUUUCCCCUGACAACACCUCCAGGUCCAAGACCAUAAGAAAUGCCAGUGGGCUCUGCUGUCAAACGGCGCUCACAAUCACUCACUGCUCACCCCUUCUGCCACUGCCUCGACUGGAGCAGUCACCUCCGCCCGGGGCUCUCUCUUCACUGCCCCCUUUCCAGAAGUUUCCUCCAGCUCAGAUAAAAGGCCAAAGCCAGCUGCGCACAGUGGCUCAUGCCUGUCAUCCCAGCGCUUUGGGAGGCUGAGGUGGGAGGACUGCUUGAGUUCAGGAGUUUGAGGCCAGCCUGGGCAACAUAAAGAAUGGCCCCUGCCCUGGCCGGCCCUGGAAGCCCCUCUCGCCAGGGUCUCAGAGGACCUGCCUGGGGCUGCUUAGCCCAAAGCGUCCUGCAUUUUGCUCUGAAAUCCAGCUUCUCAGACACCAUGUUCCCCUCCCUCCGUCCCCCAUCCAGGACUGUGGUUUCUGUGUCUGUGCAGACGCCCAGACCUCCCUCCAGAACUCCAGACCCCAAACCCCAAG
rnacentral:lncRNA from 10 species